AUUUUAUCUUUAUUUUAAUUUGUAAUUUAUAUAUGUGAGCUGGUGAUCCUAGGUCUAUUUUUUAUCUAUUCUUAUCUGUUGUUUAUUUGUAAACUAUCUAGGCUAGUGCUGAGUGCGUGCAUGGUUCCCGCCAGCUCUUUAAUGUUAGUUUAGGUGGGUCAUGACCUGGCUCUAUAAAUAGAAAGGGUGCGGUCAGUUUUUUUUUCCGGUGUUGACCGUUGGUCAGUGUGACCGUGUAGAAGUAAUAGUUAUUUAGUUGUGCUUAUAUCCAGCUUGGAUUGCCUGCUAUCCUUACUGUCAUUAGUCUGCCAUCGCCUCCUUGUACCUUUUUUUGUUAUAUUUUAAGCUUAGGUCUAGUGGGUGUUUAGAGUUGUUUGGUAACUGAUAGAUCUAGGUAGUAGUAGGAUAUUGUAGAUGUAAUGUUGUGUAGUCCGUGUCUUUAGUAAUUUUCUAGAUUUUAUUAUAGCGUACGGCUAGGUACAAAUUAGGGAAAUCAGUAGUCCAGUUUAGUUUUAGGUAAUUAGCGUGACGUCAUGCUCUCCGAUAUGUUCGCGCUGACCAGUUAUAGCUAGCUCCGGAACCACGUUGAGACCUCUUUUGUCUUGACCAGUGGUCAGUGCUGACAGUAGUGCCUGUGUAAAGUUAAUUGUGUGUAGUGUAAUUUCAGCUGGGACCGCCUGUAAGUUGGAAAAUGUUUUUAUUUUUACUUCUUUAGUUUAUAUUUGUAUUUGUUAUUCCCACAUCUACUGUUAUAGUCUAGAUUUAGACUGAUUAGUAGUGAUUAGUAGAGUGACAUCACUGGCUAGUUAAUUAGCCAUGAUUACCUCUGAUGGAACCGGAUGUUCCGUAAACUUGAGUAGCGUCACCCCCUUGCGUCAUCCUUAAUGAUCCCCUUAUGGUUUGUCCAUGUGUAAAUAUUUUAUGUCCCCUAUGUAUUUUUAUUAAUAUCUUAUUGCUAGGAUAACCACUCCAUUAAGUUGGCAUGUUGCCGAUUUUAAUUUUUAAUGUAGAAGAUGGCUGCGUCCUACUCAACGCUCCAUAAUGGCGGCUUUGUUAAGCCAAAUCUAGAUUUGUUAUUGUUGUCUAGCCCAACUGGUGUUGUGGCAUAGACAUUAACUUUUACUCCGGCUAUAAUUCCUGUCAUUACGUCUACUGCCUAACUGUGCGGUAGUACUGUCAUUAUUUCCACUGCCUAGCUGCCUUUAUUAGUAUAUUAUUGCCACAGUUAAGCUGUCUGCUGUACUGUUGUGUUUAGUGUUGGUAUUUUUAGGUGUAAUCUAGUAAAGAUAGUUAGACAUUUGGGUUUCUUAUUAGUGUUGGUAGUGGUAUAGUCAGGUUGAUUAGUUGCUUAUUUCUAAGUUUAUUUAGUUGUUUCUGUAAAGUUUAUCUUUUUUUGUAUUCAUCUAUAUUUUUAUUGCUUUGUAAGUUUGCUGUGAAUAAAGUGUAUUUAUAUUUUGUUUUAUAAA